GGUGACGUGUCCGAGUGGCCGAAGGAGCACGCCUCGAAAGCGUGAGAGGGGCAACCCUCCGUGGGUUCAAAUCCCACCGUCACCGCCA
rnacentral:tRNA from 1 species